AUGUUGGGCUCAGAGCUCAGGAACAUUAUCUGCAUCUGGAAGAGCAGCAGCAUUGCGACAAACAGUGUGGUCUGGCAGCAAAAGUCUCCAGGGAGGAGCCCUGAAAUCGUCCCCACCAUGGCCUGGCCUGGAUGACGCUUCUCCUCGGACUCCUUGCUUAUGGCUCAGGAGUGGAUUCUGAGACUGAGGUGACCCAGGAGCCAUCGUUGUCAGUGUCCCCUGGAGGAACAGUCACACUCACCUGUGGCCUGAGCUCUGGCUCAGUCUCUACCAGCAACUACCCCAGCUGGUACCAGCAGACCCCAGGCCAGGCUCCACGCAUGAUCAUCUACAACACAAACACUCGCCCUUCUGGGGUCCCUGAUCGCUUCUCUGGCUCCAUCCUUGGGAACAAAGCUGCCCUCACCAUCACGGGGGCUGAGGCAGACGAUGAAUCUGAUUAUUACUGUGUGCUGUACAUGGGUAGUGGCAUUUCCACGGCGAUUUAAACCUAUGAGGAAGUGCAACUAAAACCUCUUUAUAUACUCACAACAGUUCAGCCCUUACAGAUAAGAGGGAAAGUGACAGGAUGGAAAUGGUCAACACGGUGAGUGAGGAGUCUCCUUGCCCCAGUCUCUGAUGCAGGAGUUCACUGUCAGGUGCCUCUCCCAGUCUCUCCCCAGGUGUGUCCACCUCCCCAGUGUGACUGUUCCAUGGCUGUGCUUCCUCGCCACUGAGAAUAAUGUGGAGGGAGAAUUAUCUACAAAAUAUAUAAGCUCACAGUGUGUCACAGAGACCCCUGUGCUCCAGGAAGACACUUCUUACUCAAAGAGAAUUAACAGGCAUAUGCUUAUUAAUUAAUUUGACCAUGGAGGCUGACUUAAUAUUUUGUUUAUCACUGAAGUGAGAACGUUUUCAGGGAGCUUGUUAAAAAUGCAGUUCUCCAACCUAAACCUACUAAGUCAGAAACUUGUGUUGGUGCCAGAUAGCCUGUAUUUAACACCUGCACAUGAGAUUUUUCAUUAGUGUUAAUGUUUGGGAAGAACCUACUUUUAUUAUUAUAAAAUUAUUCAUAGGGAUUUCCAUUUAAAAUGAUGUCAGGUUAAUAUUCCAUAAUCCUACUCUCCUAAAUUCCCAUUUAAAA